rnacentral:tRNA from 1 species
GAAAUUUAUCUUUUAAACUUCUAAUUUAAUAUAAAGUGACUUAAAUCAUUAAAAUUUCU